rnacentral:piRNA from 1 species
AGCUCAGCUUUGUUCCUGUAUACUCGGA